rnacentral:rRNA from 1 species
UACGUAGGCAGCGAGCGUUGUUCGGAGUUACUGGGCGUAAAGGGUGUGUAGGCGGUUGUUUAAGUUUGGUGUGAAAUCUCCCGGCUCAACUGGGAGGGUGCGCCGAAUACUGAAUGACUAGAGUGCGGGAGAGGAAAGUGGAAUUCCUGGUGUAGCGGUGAAAUGCGUAGAUAUCGAGAGGAACACCUGAGGUGAAGACGGGUUGCUGGGCUGACACUGACGCUGAUGCGCGAAAGCCAGGGUAGCAAACGGG